CAUAAAAUAUAUGCAGGUAGUCCUUGACUUAAGACUCUUCGUUCAGUGAUUGUUUGAAGUUAUGGUGGUACUGAAAGAACAGAGUUAUGAUCCAUUCCUGAUAUUGCACAUUGCAGCGUCUCCAUAGACAACAAGGUAUGUCUGAUCUAGCUGCUAGGUUAAGCUGAGAUUGUGCUUCAUGCUAUCGGGGGGGGG